AGAAAAUAAGGUGUUUUUUUAGGAAAAUGUCUUAUCCUUUUGAAUUCAGUAAGACAUUUUCCGAAAAAUGACGCUUCUUCUCCCCUUUCCCCUUCCCCUUCCCCUUGGGUUGCAAAUCAGUGCCAUUGACAAUAGUUUUGUCAAGAACCUUUUCCAGUUCCUCCUUCAUCCAAGUAAGGCUCCUUCUCCUUCUUCUGUUCUUCAUUCCUUUUCCUUCUUUCGUUUUUCAUCUUCUCUUCCAGGUAAAAGUCAGUCGCAUAUCUUUCUUUGUUUUUUCAGUCAUAACCAUUUCCCUUUCAUUGUUUCUUAUUUUCGAGAACCUUUCUUCAUUUAACAAUCCCGAGGUAAGUUUUUGUGUUUUUCUUUUUUUCUAAUUGAAAUUUUCAUUUUUUUUCCUUAUUUGGUUUUGCAUUUUUUUAAAUUUUGUGUUCUUGGAUUGACGAGAGCAAAAGUUCUUGAUCGGAGUUGUUCUUAUGGUUCCUUGCUAUUCUGUAAAAUUGGUGAGGUUAUUUGUAUUAGUUGAAUGGAAGCAUUUGAAUCUUAUAGUUUUAUCAACCUAUUCAUCUAACAACAGUGCCUCCGAAGUCUGAUGGCUGAUGUGCUGAAAUAUUCUGUUUUCCAGCCCCUUACACCCCAGUCAUAAAAUUGAUGGAAAGAAAUGAGCUAAAGAAUUUGCGAGGAAUAUUUUUACAUUGACUUCAUUUCAUUUAAUUUUAUUUGAACUCUUUUGAUAUAGGAUUUGGCAUUUGAUCUGUCCCUUUCUGCUCUUUUGGGAGAUAACAUCUACAACUUUGGACAACUCCUUGCUCAUCCAAUUGUAAGCACAUAUUUAUAAGUUUCUUAAAUUCAUUAUAUAUUGCAGCUGGUCCAAUUGUUAUGGAAAUGAUCGAUGAAGUCUUGAUUAAGAAAAUGUGCUUUUAAUUGCACAAAGAUAAGGUUCAUAGGCCUUGUUUAGAUACUCAUGUUAAUGUAUGUGGAGGUUUAAUGACUGAAAAGUGCCUGUUAUUAAGAGCCUCUUUUCAUUUUGCAUUUCUUUUCAUGCUAUUUCAAUUACAUGAAUACAUUCUUAUUUUUCAUUGUGUUGGAUUGAUUUAAAAGGGAGUUUGUGUGUUGUAGUUUUUUUCUUUUUCUUUUUUUCCCUUCGAAUUUCUUUGCUUUGAUGUUUUUAUUUUGUUAUGUUUGAGAUGAUGACUGUUGGCAUCAUUUACAAAUUGUGUCUUCUGGGGACCAAGGUGGAAUGGCUUUAUUAUAUCCUCCAAUCCUUCAAUUUUGGGAAUUUGGUUCGUUAUGAAGAAUUGUAUGGGCAAGAAUACCGUUUGUUCUUCAAGAAAAUCCCCUCAAAUGAAAGAAAAUCUCUUGUUAAACGCAAACCCCACAUCAAAUUCUUCACUCCAAUUCCUUUCUUUCCAUUGUAAGACAAAAGCCCAAAUUUCAUUUUUUAAAGCACCCUCUUCUCUUCCCUUUUCUUCAAGAUCCUCUUCUUCUUCUUUUGUCUCACUUCAUUCUUCCACUCCUUAUACUAAUUCAACUACAAAGGAUUUCAAUUUUGAGUCCAAUGGAUUGCCUCAAACCUCUAAAUCUAAUCUUGAUGGAGAACCCAAUGAGAAUUACAAUGUGGGGAUUGGUCAUCCAAUCGUUCCAAAUUUUAUUCCAACUCAAAAGAUGAGUUUGAGUGAUCAAACCUUCUAUCUGUUCACUUUUAUUGCUUGUAUGGUAUGGUUUAAGGCUUUUCAGGUUAUUGUGUGCUAUAUAUGUGUGUAUGUGGAAUUUUUAUGCUAUAUAUGUGCAUAUGUGUGAAAGAGAAUAUUUGAUUGAUAGUCCUAUUACUUGGAAGGCAUGCUAAAUAUGUUCUGUAAACGGAUUGUUCUUUAAUUUUUUUAGAUUAUUUAGUGCUUAUUUUGAGGUUGUUUAAGGGCAAUUCUUGGUUUUGGGCAUGUUUUAUGUGAGUGCUUCUUAUUGCUUAAUGGAUAUUUUCAAAUUUUGAUAAGCAUCUCUUGUUUGCAUGUAGCUUAUAUAUAUAUAUGAAAUUGAUGUUUGAUAAUGUUGGAAUGGUAACUUGGUAAUAGUAUGUCGUUCCCACUAUUCAAUUUUUUCUUUAGAGCCUUCCAAGUACACAUAAAAACUUAGAAAAAAUUUAACUUUCUUGUGUUAGAAACAUAUUUGUAUCCUACACUCAUGUUCGAGUCUUAGUAACAUAGGAUAGUCUAUACUUUUCUCAUGUAUCAUUUCUUUUUGCAUUUGUUGAUUAUAGUUUCAUUGUUACAAUCAGGUUUUUAUAGUUUGUUGGAUGCAUAUGGUAUUUGAACAAUUUAUUGGAUAAUUUUUAUUUUUUUGCAGUUUUCUUUGGCUUGUUACUACAAAUCAGAUAUAUUCUUUCUAUAGACAGGCAGUCGUAGAAAUUCAAGUGUUGUGCAUUGGUAUUAAGUACUAUGUUUGGUGUUUCAAUUUUCUAUAUUUUCGGACUGGUUGACACCAAUCACUCGGAUACAUGCAGGCUUCUUUGGCGUUCACAAGUCUAGUCAUUGCAGCUGUUGGAUAAUUAGAUGGGCAAAGUACAUAAUGCUUGGUUAUCAAUUGAGGCUGAAACACCUGAUCUCGUUGCAUCAUGAACUUUUUCCUCCAGGUCCUUUCUGCCAUUGUAACAAUUUCGUUAUUUGAAAAGGGCAAGAAGAAGGGAAAGUGAAAUGAUGAGCAAUGAGGAUAGAGAUAAGCGUUAGUCAUUUGCGAGUAGAGCCAUCUUUGUAUGAUUCCUUUAGUAGGUAUUGCUUGAUCCUUAAAUAUUUAUUUUGAAAGGAGCGGCUCAUGUACUAAACUUUUCACUUUUUGGCAAUUGUUGGAUCUACAAUGGCACUGGAAUGCCUAAGGAUAUUGUUAAAACUACAAACAUUAUCCUUAUCUUUCAUUUUGUAUUGGGAUUUUUCAUUAGAUACAAUCAGAUAUGAUCC
rnacentral:lncRNA from 1 species